GACGUCACCGCCACUUAGUGGUGAAUGGCGGUUGUUGUUGUUGUGUCUAUAUGUGUGUGCGUUCGUAAAUUGUGGGGACUCGGUACGCUCCUUCCGACAAGCAAGCCAACUUUUUUCCCACCAUAUGUAGUGAAUUGUGUUAAUCGGAGGUGAGCAUUAAUUUAUUUAUUAUAUUCCAUUUUACUUAUUACGUGCAAAUGUACAAUUUUUAUUCUUAUUUAUGAGUUUUGCAAUGCUUCGCUUUUUUCUUGUUGAACCGUAACUAAUUGUAUAACACUGACCAUAUGUGCAUUUAAAUGCAGUGCAUUGCUGUGUUCUGACUUACGAACCAUGCGACUUACGAACGGCUCUCAGGAACGGGACCCAUUCGUAAAGUGGAGGACUGCCCGUGUGUAGUGUUUCAAUCUGGACACACUAAGAGUUGGAGGCACAUCCUUUAUUCCGUUCCAUAUAGUCACAGGGGAUAUCUACCCAGGGUCUGUACGCUACCCGACCAGCGACGCCGAGGAGGAUGAAGACGAGGACGACGGCAGCACGACGAGUUCCUUUCCCAGACAACAGCAGCCCCGACUGAGUGUCGGAGCUUCCCUUUUAUCCUCCCCGAAGGGGCCUGGCUCCGCCCUCGGCCAUGUCCCCCUCUGGAUCCCACCAGGGGGUUCCAGGCUCUGCUCAUGUGUCGCACUGGCAGACCGGGCUGCUAUACUCAUAGUCCUCCUCUCUCCGAGAAUCCCAUGCCACGCACUCUAGUGACUCAUUCUACGUCACUACACAUUUAUCAGUUGAAAUACAGAACGAGCGACUACAUUUUCUGAUACGUAUGAACACAGUUUCAUGUUUUGAAUGAGAACAUUUGUCGAUUAUUAUGUUAUCAGGAUAGAAACGUGGCCCCAAACACAUCUCUGUGCACGCAUGACCAGGCACGGCCAUGUCCUGGGUUCGACCCCACACGUGUGGCUUGUGGCUUCUGGGUUUAGUUCACCAGGUAAGAGCGCAGUCCUGACAGCCACUGCGCUCACAACCAUUGCUCAACUAAACUAUUUACCAGGUAAAGAAAACUGAGCUAUGUAGCUAUUUUUUUUAGAAACGACGUGGCUACCUAAUGAAGGCCACCUUUGUUACCCUCGUGGCGAUGUUUACACACCACACCAUAUAUUUAAGGCUAAGUCGAUUUAGGAGAGGCCCAUUACCGGUUAAAAAAAUCAUCACUGGGUGGUGGCCGUGAACGGAAUUCGAACUGUAGUCGUCGGGGUCGUAGCAGAGUACGCAAAACCACUACAUUACCGCUCGCCCCGAAACAAAUACACACACACACUCGCUCACACACAGCCCUGCUCUUGGCUGUGGUAAAUAACAACGCGAAAAAUUUUCCCAGAGAGGAAAUGGAAUUUCUCACCGACCGAGUGACGCAUCUGGCUCGACCGCACGCCCAUUGCUCACAGCGGCUAUCGCGAGGGAGCUGCAGCUUGGAGCAAGACGCGAGCGCAGACAAAACGAGAGCUCCGCAUCCGUUUGUAUAUUGAGCUCCCAACCAUGAACCACCCCGAGUCCGUCUUCUUCGUAACGGUAAUGGCGGUGGCGGUGCACGUGACUAACUCAGCAAAUAGACCCAUUCAGUACAUGGCGGCUGUUGAAGGUGAAGAUGUGCUCCUUAACUGUUCAACAUCGUCCACAAUAGACCGCGUGCGAUGGAGAUGUGGACAGUCUAACACAACGAUAUUAUUUUGUGGCAUUCAACGUGUCACAUACUGCAACCCAUCUCUCUACUACGUGGUUUUCUCUGGGAACCUGAGCAGUGGAAAUGGCUCCAUCACUCUGGCUUCAGUCCCAGCGAACGCGAGUGGAAUGUACCACUGUUUUCUGAAAACCAGCACAGCUGAUCGUCAUGAGAUGGUUUACAAUUUGACAGUAACUUCUCAAGGAACCGCUGCUACGACGCAUGCAGCGACAUCGCCGGUGCCAUCGACGGUGCCAUCGACGGUUUUGCCUUUUUGCGCCAAAGAGUUCAUCGCCAUAACCACGUGGGCUCUGAUCUUCCUUCUGUUGCUGAUGGUGCUUCUCUACCGGUGCCACCACCGCUACCACAGCAGGAAUUGGUGUUGUUGGAGGACAAUGAGAAGUCAUUUCAGCCGUGGUGAUGGUGAUGGUAUUGAUGAUAGUGGUGGUGGUGGUAGAAGGAAGGGAGACUUGGGAGAGACGCAGCACCCUGGUGGAGAGACUCGUCGCUUAGAGGAGAUGGAGACGAGUGAGGUGCGUGAAAUAUAUCCAUCUCAAUAAUUUGAUAACUCAAUUAUUCUUCUUCACAAUUUUGGCUAUCACCUGAUGAAGCUGGUUGGUGAUGUUAUCACCAGAGAAACGUCACAGUACUCGAAUUGUAAAUGUUGUGGGUUGACUUUCCAACACACCGGUGUGCUGAGGUAGUAAGUAAUUAGCAUGUUUUGUUGACGGACAACCCUUACUAGUUGGCUGUGUUGGGUGGUGACGGGUUUUAACGACACAUUUAUAUAUUUACGUGAU